CCAGACUCCUACGGGAGGCAGCAGUGGGGGAUAUUGCACAAUGGGGGGAACCCUGAUGCAGCGACGCCGCGUGGGUGAAGGAGCGUUUCGGCGCGUAAAGCCCUAUCGGCAGGGAAGAAGGAGGACGGUACCUGACUAAGAAGCCCCGGCUAACUACGUGCCAGCAGCCGCGGUAAUACGUAGGGGGCAAGCGUUAUCCGGAUUUACUGGGUGUAAAGGGAGCGUAGACGGCGAUGCAAGCCAGAUGUGAAAGCCCGGGGCUCAACCCCGGGACUGCAUUUGGAACUGUGUGGCUGGAGUGCAGGAGGGGCAGGCGGAAUUCCUGGUGUAGCGGUGAAAUGCGUAGAUAUUAGGAGGAACACCAGUGGCGAAGGCGGCCUGCUGGGCUUUAACUGACGCUGAGGCUCGAAAGCGUGGGGAGCAAACAGGAUUAGAUACCCCAGUA
rnacentral:rRNA from 1 species